GAUGAACGCUGGCGGCGUGCCUAAUACAUGCAAGUCGAACGAGUUCUCGUUGAUGAUCGGUGCUUGCACCGAGAUUCAACAUGGAACGAGUGGCGGACGGGUGAGUAACACGUGGGUAACCUGCCCUUAAGUGGGGGAUAACAUUUGGAAACAGAUGCUAAUACCGCAUAGAUCCAAGAACCGCAUGGUUCUUGGCUGAAAGAUGGCGUAAGCUAUCGCUUUUGGAUGGACCCGCGGCGUAUUAGCUAGUUGGUGAGGUAAUGGCUCACCAAGGCGAUGAUACGUAGCCGAACUGAGAGGUUGAUCGGCCACAUUGGGACUGAGACACGGCCCAAACUCCUACGGGAGGCAGCAGUAGGGAAUCUUCCACAAUGGACGCAAGUCUGAUGGAGCAACGCCGCGUGAGUGAAGAAGGCUUUCGGGUCGUAAAACUCUGUUGUUGGAGAAGAAUGGUCGGCAGAGUAACUGUUGUCGGCGUGACGGUAUCCAACCAGAAAGCCACGGCUAACUACGUGCCAGCAGCCGCGGUAAUACGUAGGUGGCAAGCGUUAUCCGGAUUUAUUGGGCGUAAAGCGAGCGCAGGCGGUUUUUUAAGUCUGAUGUGAAAGCCCUCGGCUUAACCGAGGAAGCGCAUCGGAAACUGGGAAACUUGAGUGCAGAAGAGGACAGUGGAACUCCAUGUGUAGCGGUGAAAUGCGUAGAUAUAUGGAAGAACACCAGUGGCGAAGGCGGCUGUCUGGUCUGUAACUGACGCUGAGGCUCGAAAGCAUGGGUAGCGAACAGGAUUAGAUACCCUGGUAGUCCAUGCCGUAAACGAUGAAUGCUAGGUGUUGGAGGGUUUCCGUCCUUCAGUGCCGCAGCUAACGCAUUAAGCAUUCCGCCUGGGGAGUACGACCGCAAGGUUGAAACUCAAAGGAAUUGACGGGGGCCCGCACAAGCGGUGGAGCAUGUGGUUUAAUUCGAAGCAACGCGAAGAACCUUACCAGGUCUUGACAUCUUUUGAUCACCUGAGAGAUCAGGUUUCCCCUUCGGGGGCAAAAUGACAGGUGGUGCAUGGUUGUCGUCAGCUCGUGUCGUGAGAUGUUGGGUUAAGUCCCGCAACGAGCGCAACCCUUAUGACUAGUUGCCAGCAUUUAGUUGGGCACUCUAGUAAGACUGCCGGUGACAAACCGGAGGAAGGUGGGGAUGACGUCAAAUCAUCAUGCCCCUUAUGACCUGGGCUACACACGUGCUACAAUGGAUGGUACAACGAGUUGCGAGACCGCGAGGUCAAGCUAAUCUCUUAAAGCCAUUCUCAGUUCGGACUGUAGGCUGCAACUCGCCUACACGAAGUCGGAAUCGCUAGUAAUCGCGGAUCAGCACGCCGCGGUGAAUACGUUCCCGGGCCUUGUACACACCGCCCGUCACACCAUGAGAGUUUGUAACACCCGAAGCCGGUGGCGUAACCCUUUUAGGGAGCGAGCCGUCUAAGGUGGGACAAAUGAUUAGGGUG
rnacentral:rRNA from 2 species